AUACUUACCUGGCAAGGGAGGAUACCGUGAUCAAGAAGGCAGGUUCACCCAGGGCGAGGGCUCAGCCAUUGCACUCCGGCUGUGCUGACCCCUGCGAAUUUCCCAAAUGUGGAAAUCUCGAUUGCAUAAUUUAUGGUAGUGGGGGACUGCGUUCGCGCUCGCCCCUG
rnacentral:snRNA from 8 species